AGAGGUUGGGUGAGAAAGGAGAGAGAAAAGGCCAGAGACAUCAGUCGAGUGAGCAUCUCCGACACGGCAACAACUGCAGUGCCAUAUCUGUCACCAUCUGCCUUCUUCACCGUAUUGCCAGUUCGCAUCCAUGGGCGUCGUAUGCUGUUGGGUGUUGUAUCGUUG